rnacentral:lncRNA from 1 species
AUAUGGUACCAUUCUUCCGCGAUGUGAGGUAACACAAUAUAAAAUAGCAUGGUAUAUUGUUUAACUUUUUCAUUUCCACUCUUUAUUCAUUCGUCUUGAUUGAUUUAAGCAUUGUGAUUAAUUGAAAUGUUUACUCUGAUAAACUGUUUUUUAAUGUAAGGGUCAUAUUCACAAUUUAUUAUAAUCAAGUGAGAUCGGGUGUCUUUCUGAAGAAGCAGUAAUUUGUACGACUUCAUCUAAGUUAAACCAAAAUAUGUGUUAUAUUAUAAUAACCAUUUAACUUCAAGUGGUUAUGAUCUUUAUACCGCCGCCACCUUUUGUAAGUUAAAUGGUCGUUCCCUUAUAACUGGCUAUACAUCUAAUGAUUAUGUAUUGUUAAUUUGUUAAUUGUUAGAUUAUUUUUAGUUUAAAAUAUUAGAUAUAAAUUUCUGUGUCCUUGACAUUAUUUCAACAUCUUAUUAUAUUGAAUAUGUUAAUCUUCAAAUAAGGAAAUGCAUGCGAAAGAAAGUUUUUAAGUUAAGUUAAAUAUACAUUUUCAAUUAUAGUAGUUCACUGAUUUUGUGAUUUAAUUUGUUCUUUACGAAUCGGCAGUUACUAUUUAUCUUCCAUAUGUUCCAGUGCUUGUUUUUUUUUUACAUUUUUCAAUCACGGUAUUCCCUCGCAUUUGCUCUGUGCCAAAAUUCUAAAGAAAGGUUUCGUAGUUGAUGUCACUGUAUACAGAAAAAUAUAUUGGGAAUGAUAUACGAGAAGACUCUUUUGGAUUGAAAAACAAACCGUUUCAUCUUAUGAAAAUUCUAUGUAAUUUGUAUGAA